AAGAAAACCACGGGGAACUUCUCAAAAAUCUCGAAGUGCUCCACAGCAGGAGGUCACGCAGCUAGCCUGGCUGGUCCCAGUGCUGGUGGCCUCUCCACAGUUCCCUUCUCCUGGCCGUGGUGUUCCGAAACGUGCCCUGCUGAUGGCAGAAAACGCCCGUUUCUGCCUAGGACUCUGACCUCUGGAAGAAACAGAAGUAACAGAGAUGCUUGUAAUUUCUCAGCGGGGUGGAGGUACUGCCCGCCCUCCCGGAGCGCGGGGCCGGCGGGUCCCUGCGAGGAGCCCAGAGUGCGCGGGGCAGCGCCUGCCCCGGGAGCCGCUGCCGGAGCCGCGGGAGCCGAAAGUCCCUUCUGCUCCUCCCCUCGCCCCGUGACGGAGGCCGCGGGCCAGAACAGUUACGGGCGGUCGACGCAGAGCCACAGGCGGCGGGACGCUCCUCCGCAGGCGGUAGCAGCCCGACUCCGGCCCCGCUCGCAGAGGCACACGUACCGGGAUGCGACGUACCGGGAUGCCACGGUGCUCACUGCUCAUGUGGCGAAGAUUUGUAAGGAGAGCACCAUGAUCAUAUGCCAACCCAAUAACAGCAACAGCCUGGAAAGACGGAGAUCAGCCAGUGGUGGAUGAAAUGGCUAGCCUACUUUGACAAUAUGAAGAAAAUCUCUCUGCAUCCCUACAGGCCUGUGCCUCAGCUCUGGAGAAACUGUCCUGGGAGUGCUAGCAAUUAAAAGACAGUAUGUCCUACUCCACACCUUUACAGACCAGUAUCUCAGCUAUUAGAAGUAAGUGCUCCUCUGCUCUAGAGAAAGGACAUAGUGGGUAUAGAUCACAUGCCAAUGUAUGGAUUUACCCAUGUGACCAUGGAGAGGAUAUGAGGAAGUGGGAUGGAAAACACACCUCAACCCAUGAGGCAUGAGUAUGUAAGUUGCAAGGAAAAACAAUGGCAAAAGAGGAUUGAUUAUCCCUGGAAAACUGCUGCUUCAGCCUCUAGUGGACUGUUUUGAUACGCUGAUCUUAUUUCUGACUUUAAUUCACACGUGGAUUCAGUGGCUUGGCACAUCAGAACCACAGGAGUAUAAGGCUUUAGUGGAUGCUGGUGCACAGUGUACUCAAAUGUCACCAAGUUAUACAAGGGACGAACUCAUUUGUAUUUCUGGAGUGACAGGGUAUCCCGAAAGCUAAUUAUAUUGGAGGGUGAAGCGAACCUCACCAGCAAUGAGUGGCAAAAGGACACCACUGUGACUAGCCCAGAGGCUCCAUGUAUCCUUGAUAUAGACAUAGACUACCUCAGGAGAGGGUGCUUCAAAGACCCAAAAUGGUAUUGGUGGCCUUCCACCGCAUUCCACCCUGGAGAUUUUCCUUUCCUCAAGAGGUAGACAUUUCAGUAAGUCACCUCCAGUAAAUAUUCCAGGUAAUCCACACCAAGACAAUAGUAACUCAAACUUCACAAUAUUUAGACUGAAUCAUCAUAGUAUUUAGCAGAAAAGUGUUACCAGUCCUGAGCAAAACCUUGGGCUUAGUGGUGAGACCAAAGCAAGACGUUGGGGAAAGGGAGAUGCAUUCCAUCAAAAAACAGCUGAGGGUCUUGAAUUCCAGAAAAACACCAGAGUUGUAUGCAACAAAUAGCAGAACAAAAGCAGGACUACACUUAAAACAGAAUGCUUGAGACAGAUUAUUGCCUUUCUGGAUUAGAUGAGUAAUUCAUCUAGUCUGCUAUUGUUCUAUUAUAAGCGACUAUCACUGUUUCAGGGAACACUGCCAGAAAUUGUUCAAUGAAUGGUUAUUAGAAUAAUGAUUUCUCUUGAAAAAAUAGGGGUUCAAAUUUGUUACGUUUUGUUCUAAUGUAAUAACCUCUAACAGUGUUCUCAUUAACUACAUUGAAAUGACUUCUUGAGUCUCACCACCUGUUGGUUUUUGCUCUCACGGCCUGUAGACCCAAACGCUGACCAAGAUGUAGGAACAGGUUCCUUUUUAUCUGUUUUGUAGUUGUUGUUUUUCAUAUUCACUAAGUGUACUUGACUUUGUCUUUUCCCAGACACUCACUAUUAUACUCAUUCUUGUUCCUUCUCUAAUUAAACAGUUCCAAUUUAUUUCACUUUAUUCUCAGGUGUCUGUGCCUCCAAGUGGAGGAAGCCAACUUGUGCCUAUGGCAAUCUCUGGCAUAACUGUUUUUCUCUCUCUUCAUGCCUCUUUUUGAGAGAAAUGCUGCUAGAUUUGGACAGUCAUAUUAAAUUGCUUUAUAUUGGACUACACAGGAUAUUAUUUUCAGUAUUUCACUUUUCUUUGUUUAGUUGAAUAUUUUGUUUGCAACUUUUCAUUUCUGUCCGUCGCUGAACAGAGACGUUUUCAUUCCUUGAUCAAUAAACCUUCACUAUUGUCUGUGAUAGGUUAAUUU
ensembl:lncRNA